rnacentral:rRNA from 1 species
GUGGGGAAUUUUGGACAAUGGGGGGAACCCUGAUCCAGCCAUGCCGCGUGUGUGAAGAAGGCCUUCGGGUUGUAAACUGCUUCUGUACGGAACGAAACGGUCCUGGCUAAUAUCCGGGGCUAAUGACGGUACCGUAAGAAUAAGCACCGGCUAACUACGUGCCAGCAGCCGCGGUAAUACGUAGGGUGCGAGCGUUAAUCGGAAUUACUGGGCGUAAAGCGUGCGCAGGCGGUGCUGUAAGACAGGCGUGAAAUCCCCGGGCUCAACCUGGGAAUUGCGCUUGUGACUGCAGGGCUGGAGUGCGGCAGAGGGGGAUGGAAUUCCGCGUGUAGCAGUGAAAUGCGUAGGUAUGCGGAGGAACACCGAUGGCGAAGGCAAUCCCCUGGGCCUGCACUGACGCUCAUGCACGAAAGCGUGGGGAGCAAACAGGAUUAGAAACCCUUGUAGUCC